rnacentral:tRNA from 1 species
UCCCUGGUGGCUGAGAUGGUAAGGCGUCUGCCUGCAAUGCGGGAGACCUGGGUUCGAUCCCUGGGUGCGGGAA